rnacentral:lncRNA from 1 species
UGGUGAUACACAGCUGCUUUGAAAGAUAAUAAGCGAAACCAUGCCCAAAUGAGCUAUGCUUCGCUGUUGUGCAGAGACAACGGGCUGCCUCGCUAAACGAUGCACACCUGUAACUCACGUGACCCUGAUUAUUAUUGAAACGAGAACGAGGGCGUCGUGCCUUUAUAAGACUGCGUUAAUGGUUCCGUGGAGUUAUCCCUUUCGUGGUUGUUUAUUGAUUGUUAAACAUGGCUUCAUUUGCAAAGGUGGUUGUGUGUGUCCUCAUUGCUUGUGUCUGUAAUGGUAAGUUUUCCCCUUGUUUCUGUUAGUUGCUUUUUAUCUUGAAAUUCUGUCUGAAAUAGUCACUCGUUUUGUCUUCCUUUGAGCAGCAUUCGGUUUUCCGAAGAGAGAUGUGAACUUUAAGGCCUCUGCAGUUGACCGCCAAAGUGAUGAUGUGGUUGUCACCACAACACCCGUUCCCCACAACCAGACCACCUCUGCCCCUAAUGAAGCUGGUGGUGGUGCAAGUGAAGAUGCUGUGGCUACUACCCCAGCACCUAAUCCACAGAACCAGACAACUUCUGAAGUUACUGGUAGGGUGUUUCUUUUUAGUUUUUGUGGUUUUCGGCAAGUUUGGUUUUUGUAUAAAAUGUGUGUAAGUGUCCCUUGGCUUCUCUUUGGCCCCCUCACCCAUGUAGAAUCCCAAGAUGGAGCCAGUGAAGAUGCUGUGGACCGCCAAAGUGAUGUGGUUGUCGCCACAACACCCGAUCCCCACAACCAGACCACAUCUGCCCAUACUGAAGCUGGUGGUGAGGUUUUCUUUUGCGAAAUGUAUGGGUUCUGUUGAGUCUUGAUUGUGUUGGUUAAAUGUUGACUCUUGUAUGGUUAUCUUAAGAUGGAGCAAGUGAAGAUGAUGAUGAUGCAGCAAGUGAAGAUGCUGUGGCUACCACCCCAACACCAAAUCCCCCAACUACAUCUGACCACACUGCAGCUACCGGUAAGGACAUCAGUGCAUGUCUGUUUUGAUGGAACACUUUGAAUGUUUGCGCCCCCCUUUUGACCGUGUCGCUUUCUAUUUGUGUGUAAUCGCAAGAUGAUGCAAGUGAGGGUGCUGUGGCUGCCCAAACUGGAACUACUGGUAAGGGAGUUAUGAUUAUACAAGGAACCACUUGGAUGGUUCAAACUGUUUGCUUUUAAAAAUGUAUUCACAAGGAAUCUGAUGCAGUGCAAGGGUCUAGGAACUUUGAGUGUUGUUUGGCAUGGUCACUCGUUAAUGUUUAAAAAUGCAGCUUGGCAGGUCUCUAACAACUCUAUACCUGUAGUCACAAAUGUUUGUUUGGUUGAACAGCUCUGCCUGGAGCAGUGGCAUACUGUAGGAUUUCGCCCAAUAAAUGUGCAAUUAUAAAGGUUUUUGUUUCUUCU